UGUAAACAUCCCCGACUGGAAGCUGGAAAAUGUAGCUUUCAGUCCGAUGUUUGCUGC
rnacentral:pre_miRNA from 1 species